rnacentral:rRNA from 1 species
AUUGAACGCUGGCGGCAGGCCUAACACAUGCAAGUCGAGCGGCGGGGCGGACGGGUGAGUAAUGCCUAGGAAUCUGCAUGGGAGUGGGGGAUAACGUCCGGAAACGGGAGCUAAUACCGCAUCCUAUCAGAUGAGCCUAGGCCGGAUUAGCUAGUUGGUGGGGGAAAGGCCAACCAAGGCGACGAUCCGUAACUGGUCUGAGAGGAUGAUCAGUCACACUGGAACUGAGACACGGUCCAGACUCCUACGGGAGGCAGCAGUGGGGAAUAUUGGACAAUGGGCGAAAGCCUGAUGCAGCCAUGCCGCGUGUGUGAAGAAGGCCUUAGGGUUGUAAAGCACUUUAAGCGGGGAGGCGUUACCAGCAGAAUAAGCACCGGCUAACUUCGUGCCAGCAGCCGCGGUAAUUC